UAGGGAAUCUUCCGCAAUGGACGCAAUUCUGACGGAGCAACGCCGCGUGAGUGAAGAAGGUCUUCGGAUCGUAAAGCUCUGUUGUUAGAGAAGAACAGCGCAUAGAGUAACUGUUAUGCGUGUGACGGUAUCUAACCAGAAAGCCACGGCUAACUACGUGCCAGCAGCCGCGGUAAUACGUAGGUGGCGAGCGUUGUCCGGAUUUAUUGGGCGUAAAGGGAGUGUAGGCGGUCUUUUAAGUCUGAUGUGAAAGCCCACGGCUCAACCGUGGAGGGUCAUUGGAAACUGGGAGACUUGAGUGCAGAAGAGGAGAGCGGAAUUCCAUGUGUAGCGGUGAAAUGCGUAGAUAUAUGGAGGAACACCAGUGGCGAAGGCGGCUCUCUGGUCUGUAACUGACGCUGAGGCUCGAAAGCGUGGGGAGCAAACAGGAUUAGAUACCCUGGUAGUCCACGCCGUAAACGAUGAGUGCUAAGUGUUGGAGGGGUUCCACCCUUCAGUGCUGGAGUUAACGCAAUAAGCACUCCGCCUGGGAGUACGGCCGNANGUG
rnacentral:rRNA from 1 species